UUGAUCCUGGCUCAGGAUGAACGCUGGCGGUAUGCUUAACACAUGCAAGUCGAACGGAAGUCUUCGGACUUUAGUGGCGGACGGGUGAGUAACGCGUGAGAAUCUGCCUAUAGGUUGGGGACAACAGUUGGAAACGACUGCUAAUACCCAAUGUGCCGAGAGGUAAAAGCUUUAGUGCCUGUAGAUGAGCUCGCGUCCGAUUAGCUAGUUGGUAAGGUAAGAGCUUACCAAGGCGACGAUCGGUAGCUGGUCUGAGAGGAUGAUCAGCCACACUGGGACUGAGACACGGCCCAGACUCCUACGGGAGGCAGCAGUGGGGAAUUUUCCGCAAUGGGCGAAAGCCUGACGGAGCAAUACCGCGUGCGGGACGAAGGCUUUUGGGUCGUAAACCGCUUUUGUUAGGGAAGAAUAACUGACGGUACCUAACGAAUCAGCAUCGGCUAACUCCGUGCCAGCAGCCGCGGUAAUACGGAGGAUGCAAGCGUUAUCCGGAUUUAUUGGGCGUAAAGCGUCCGCAGGUGGUUAAUCAAGUCUGCUGUCAAAGCGUGGGGCUUAACCCCAUAAAGGCAGUGGAAACUGAUUAACUAGAGUACGGUAGGGGUAGCGGGAAUUCCCAGUGUAGCGGUGAAAUGCGUAGAUAUUGGGAAGAACACCAGCGGCGAAGGCGCGCUACUGGGCCGAAACUGACACUCAUGGACGAAAGCUAGGGGAGCGAAAGGGAUUAGAUACCCCUG
rnacentral:rRNA from 1 species